CAGCAGCCACGGGAAUACGUAGGUGGCAAGCGUUGUCCGGAUUUAUUGGGCGUAAAGCGAGCGCAGGCGGUCAAUUAAGUCUGAUGUGAAAGCCCCUGGCUCAACCGGGGAGGGUCAUUGGAAACUGGUUGACUUGAGUGCAGAAGAGGAGAGUGGAAUUCCAUGUGUAGCGGUGAAAUGCGUAGAUAUAUGGAGGAACACCAGUGGCGAAGGCGACUCUCUGGUCUGUAACUGACGCUGAGGCUCGAAAGCGUGGGUAGCAAACAGGAUUAGAGACCCCUGUAGUCCCUGUCUCUUAUAC
rnacentral:rRNA from 1 species